rnacentral:lncRNA from 1 species
GGGAUCCACCAUUACAGUAAUAGGUGCUUCAGAUGGUAUGAGCCAGCAGGGCAGGUUGUCCUUUUGGUUAGUAUCUUCUAGUAUGGAGGGAAAUUUAGCAUGAAAUACUAGGACAAUGGUUGAAUCUCUUGGGAAAACCAUAUAAUUUCAUUUAAAGUCAUUAUGCAUUCAUCAAACCCUUUUUUUUUUUUUUUAAUGGAGCACAUGUAAAUCCAAGUUAAUUUAUUUCUCUUUCUAUUCAGUAACUUCCCCUCUCCCCCAUCUUUCUUUUAUCUCCUCCAACCCCAAGCCUAAGAAGAAUGGAAAUUCUUGCUGUGAUCAGUCCAUUAUAAGAAGAUUGCAUAUAGAUUAAGAAACAGAGGAUUUGUGGAGGACUCAAAUUUGCAGAAGGUUGAAGACUCAUUUAAGGACACUUGGAAGCCUUUUAUGGAUUAUAUAUACAAAACAGAUGUUGCAUCUUAGAAAAACUGCCAAGGCCUUGUCUUCAGGGAAUGUAGAGACUCCUGCUGCACCACAGUAAUAGACUAGAGAAAAGUGACAGAAAACUCCAUGCUGUUCUCAGCUUAUGUGCCAAGACUGAUGUAAUAGUGAAGAAGCUGAAGUUAAAUGGCAGAAGCAGAAAAGAAAAAUAGUUUGAUAUC